rnacentral:lncRNA from 1 species
GCUUUGUGGCGGCAGCGGACCGUGGAGGCCGGGUGCAGCCCCGUCGGCUGCGCGCUCUCUGCAGAAAAGGAUUUUCUAUGCUCCCCGCCCAUCACUUGGAUCUCGUCUGGGGAGGGGCGGAUUUUUUUUCUGGAAGUACCCUUCUUCUUCACGGUGGAGGAUUUAAGGCUGGGCUCCAAUCGAGGCGGAGGCUGCAGGGCCCGCGGGGCGCCCCCCACGCCCGGCGCACGCCUGCCUGGAGCCUGGGAAGGCGCAGCCCCGGCGGGGGGGGCCGUGCACCCCCGGAGGCAGCAGCGGCGAUAAACCUGCCAGUAAUUUCAGCAAAUGAAACGUGGAACGCGUCAAGGCCAGAGGAUGGAAAAGGCUCCGGUUUUGAUAAAAGGAGGCCUGCUUGCCUUGGAAUCCUCUCUCCUGCUGGUUGGAAGAUGCAAAGAUGUUUCCAGAGAGGGGCUGAAGAAUUGAGGGGAAAGAAAUGA